rnacentral:rRNA from 1 species
GAUGAACGCUGGCGGCGUGCCUAAUACAUGCAAGUCGAGCGAACAGAUAAGGAGCUUGCUCCUUUGAAGUUAGCGGCGGACGGGUGAGUAACACGUGGGUAACCUACCUAUAAGACUGGGAUAACUUCGGGAAACCGGAGCUAAUACCGGAUAACAUUUAGAACCGCAUGGUUCUAAAGUGAAAGAUGGUUUCGCUAUCACUUAUAGAUGGACCCGCGCCGUAUUAGGCUAGUUGGUAAGGUAACGGCUUACCAAGGCGACGAUACGUAGCCGACUUGGGAGGGGGAUCGGCCACACUGGAACGGAGACACGGUCCAGACUCCUACGGGAGGCAGCAGUAGGGAAUCUUCCGCAAUGGGCGAAAGCCUGACGGAGCAACGCCGCGUGAGUGAUGAAGGGUUUCGGCUCGUAAAACUCUGUAUUAGGGAAGAACAAAUGUGUAAGUAACUGUGCACAUCUUGACGGUACCUAAUCAGAAAGCCACGGCUAACUACGUGCCAGCCGCCGCCGUAA